AGCAGCUUGGCGCAGUGGAAGCGCGGUAUGUUACAACGUCAUGGUUCAAACAUGAUCUAGUACUAACUCAUUCUAGCCGGGCUCAUAACCCGGAGGUCACUGGAUCGAAACCAGUAGCUGCUA